GUAUUUAUAGCUUAUUUAGAGUUUAAUGCUGAAGACAUUAAGGAAAUAUUAUUUUUUUGAAUACA
rnacentral:tRNA from 1 species